rnacentral:rRNA from 1 species
UACGAAGGGGGCUAGCGUUGCUCGGAAUUACUGGGCGUAAAGCGCACGUAGGCGGGUCGUUAAGUCGGGGGUGAAAUCCUGGAGCUCAACUCCAGAACUGCCUUCGAAACUGACGAUCUUGAGUUCGGGAGAGGUGAGUGGAACUGCGAGUGUAGAGGUGAAAUUCGUAGAUAUUCGCAAGAACACCAGUGGCGAAGGCGGCUCACUGGCCCGAUACUGACGCUGAGGUGCGAAAGCGUGGGGAGCAAACAGG